UACGUAGGGUGCGAGCGUUAAUCGGAAUUACUGGGCGUAAAGCGUGCGCAGGCGGUUCGUUAAGUUCGAUGUGAAAGCCCCGGGCUCAACCUGGGAAUGGCAUUGGAAACUGGCGGACUCGAGUGUGGCAGAGGGGGGUGGAAUUCCGCGUGUAGCAGUGAAAUGCGUAGAGAUGCGGAGGAACACCGAUGGCGAAGGCAGCCCCCUGGGCUAACACUGAUGCUCAGGCACGAAAGCGUGGGGAGCAAACAGG
rnacentral:rRNA from 1 species